CGCACGCUCCUUAGAUCCAUCUCUGUUUAUACUAGGAGAUGCUUGAGUCAUAAGUGUGCUAGAUUACGCAAUACCUUCUUUUUGGUCUUUUCAAACAGUGUUAUAAAUUUGCUUUACUGCUGAAUUUGUACGAAUCGCUGCUUAUACGAUCAACGAGAGGACAUA
rnacentral:snoRNA from 1 species